rnacentral:rRNA from 1 species
GAUGAACGCUAGCGGCAGGCCUAACACAUGCAAGUCGAGGGGCAGCAUAAAGAUAGCUUGCUAUCUUGGUGGCGACCGGCGCACGGGUGAGUAACGCGUAUGCAACCUACCCUGUACUGAGGGAUAGCCCGGAGAAAUUCGGAUUAAUACCUCAUAGUAUCCAGAUAUGGCAUCAUAAUUGGAUUAAAGGUUACGGUACAGGAUGGGCAUGCGUCCUAUUAGCUAGAUGGUAAGGUAACGGCUUACCAUGGCGACGAUAGGUAGGGGGCCUGAGAGGGUGGUCCCCCACACUGGUACUGAGACACGGACCAGACUCCUACGGGAGGCAGCAGUGAGGAAUAUUGGUCAAUGGGCGCAAGCCUGAACCAGCCAUGCCGCGUGAAGGAUGAAGGUUCUAUGGAUUGUAAACUUCUUUUAUUUGGGAAUAAACUCUCGGACGUGUCCGAGCCUGAAGGUACCAAAUGAAUAAGCACCGGCUAACUCCGUGCCAGCCGCCGCCGUAACAC